AAAUACGGCAGGUCAUCAAGAACACUACCUAGGCCACAGACUGGCUCACAGCAUCAAGAAUUCAAAUACGGCAGGUCAUCUAGAACACUACCUAGGCCACAGACUGGCUCACAGCGUCAAGAAUUCAAAUACGACAGGUCAUCUAGAACACUACCUAGGCCACAGACUGGCUCAUAGCGUCAAGAAUUCAAAUACGACAGGUCAUCUAGAACACUACCUAGGCCACAGACUGGCUCACAGCGUCAAGAAUUCAAAUACGACAGGUCAUCUAGAACACUACCUAGGCCACAGACUGGCUCACAGCGUCAAGAAUUCAAAUACGGCAGGUCAUCUAGAACACUACCUAGGCCACAGACUGGCUCAUAGCGUCAAUAAUUCAAAUACGGCAGGUCAUCUAGAACACUACCUAGGCCACAGACUGGCUCACAGCGUCAAGAAUUCAAAUACAGCAGGUCAUCUAGAACACUACCUAGGCCACAGACUGGCUCAUAGCGUCAAUAAUUCAAAUACGGCAGACCAUUUAGAACACUACCUAGGCCACAGACUGGCUCACAGCGUCAAGAGUUCAAAUACGGCAGGUCAUCUAGAACACUACCUAAGCCACAGACUGGCUCACAGCGUCAAGAGUUCAAAUACGACAGGUCAUCUAGAACACUACCUAGGCCACAGACUGGCUCAUAGCGUCAAUAAUUCAAAUACGGCAGGUCAUCUAGAACACUACCUAGGCCACAGACUGGCUCACAGCGUCAAGAAUUCAAAUACAGUAGGUCAUCUAGAAUACUACCUAGGCCACUGACUGGCUCAUAGCGUAA
rnacentral:sRNA from 1 species